rnacentral:rRNA from 1 species
AAACCAACAGGGAUUGCCUUAGUAACGGCGAGUGAAGCGGCAAAAGCUCAAAUUUGAAAGCUAGCACCUUCGGUGUUCGCGUUGUAAUUUGAAGAUAGUUUCUUUGAGUAGUCCUUUAUCUAUGUUCCUUGGAACAGGACGUCAUAGAGGGUGAGAACCCCGUAUGAUUUUGGAUACUACUCUUUGUGGGAUUCUAUCGAAGAGUCGAGUUGUUUGGGAAUGCAGCUCUAAGUGGGUGGUAAAUUCCAUCUAAAGCUAAAUAUUGGCGAGAGACCGAUAGCGAAUAAGUACAGUGAUGGAAAGAUGAAAAGAACUCUGAAGAGAGAGUGAAAAAGUACGUGAAAUUGCUGAAAGGGAAGGGCUUGAGGUCAGACUUGGUGUUUAAUGAUUAUCAGUUCUUCUUGGACUGUGCACUCGUUUUUCACCGGGCCAAUAUCAGUUUUAGCGGUAGAGUACCCCUUGAAAUGUGGCUUCCUUCGGGGAGUGUUAUAGUCUUGGGGAGAUCUACUUGCUGGGACUGAGGACUGCGCUUCGGCAAGGAUAUUGGCGUAAUGACCUUAAGCCGC